AACAACUCAAAUGGCUUUUUUUUUAAUGCUAGGAAAAAUGUUCACCUUUCAAUGGUGACAGUACUGUUAACACAGGUAGAGAGUCAACAAGGUAAAAAGUGAAAGCACAUACAGACACACACAAAUAUAUAAAAUUUGACCAGAAAUCACAGGACAUUUAAGCAAUGUUUUCUUAAGUAGAACUAUUUUUUUUUUUUUUUUUUGUACUUUAAAUAGACUAAAGUAUUUGGUGUGGGUGGAGGGAAGGAAAUCAAUAUUUCACAACUUUAACUUGAAAACCAGCUGAAAUAAAGCCUCAGCUCAUUGUUUAAUUUUUUAAAAAUGGAACCACAUCAUACUUCUGACAAUCAUAGGAUUAAAGCUUACAAAGAACACAUCUACCGUCUACAUCACAGUGCACAGAGAGGAUGCAGUCUGCAGACUACCACAGGGGAACAAGAACAGACUCUGCACCCUUCAUAUUGCAUUACAAAAUCAAUGCCGUCUUAGAGGAAUCUUGCCUCCCGUGUCGGUGUCAUAGCUGGCAAGCACCUGAGGGCUAGGAGGCUAUCAGAACUGAGGGUGCUGCUCAGAGUGGAUCAGAACACCAGUUCCUUGAUCUGCCCCUGGCUGAUGCAUUUA
rnacentral:lncRNA from 1 species